CCUACGGGUGGCAGCAGUAGGGAAUAUUGCUCAAUGGGGGAAACCCUGAAGCAGCAACGCCGCGUGGAGGAUGAAGGUUUUCUGAUUGUAAACUCCUUUUGUUAGAGAAGAUAAUGACGGUAUCUAACGAAUAAGCACCGGCUAACUCCGUGCCAGCAGCCGCGGUAAUACGGAGGGUGCAAGCGUUACUCGGAAUCACUGGGCGUAAGGAGCGCGUAGGCGGGAUAGCAAGUCAGAUGUGAAAUCCUAUGGCGUAACCAUAGAACUGCAUUUGAAACUGUUAUUCUAGAGUAUGGGAGAGGUAGGUGGAAUUCUUGGUGUAGGGGUAAAAUCCGUAGAGAUCAAGAGGAAUACUCAUUGCGAAGGCGACCUGCUAGAACAUAACUGACGCUGAUGCGCGAAAGCGUGGGGAGCAAACAGGAUUAGAUACCCGAGUAGUC
rnacentral:rRNA from 1 species